rnacentral:rRNA from 1 species
AUUGAACGCUGGCGGCAUGCUUUACACAUGCAAGUCGGACGGCAGCAUAAAAGAGCUUGCUCUUUUGAUGGCGAGUGGCGAACGGGUGAGUAAUGCAUCGGAACGUACCGAGUAGUGGGGGAUAACUGUCCGAAAGGAUGGCUAAUACCGCAUAUUCUCUGAGGAGGAAAGCAGGGGACCUUAGGGCCUUGCGCUAUUUGAGCGGCCGAUGUCUGAUUAGCUAGUUGGUGGGGUAAGAGCCCACCAAGGCGACGAUCAGUAGCGGGUCUGAGAGGAUGAUCCGCCACACUGGGACUGAGACACGGCCCAGACUCCUACGGGAGGCAGCAGUGGGGAAUUUUGGACAAUGGGCGCAAGCCUGAUCCAGCCAUGCCGCGUGUAUGAAGAAGGCCUUCGGGUUGUAAAGUACUUUUGUCAGGGAAGAAAAGCCUGAGGAUAACACCCUCAGGUCAUGACGGUACCUGAAGAAUAAGCACCGGCUAACUACGUGCCAGCAGCCGCGGUAAUACGUAGGGUGCGAGCGUUAAUCGGAAUUACUGGGCGUAAAGCGAGCGCAGACGGUUAUUUAAGCAAGAUGUGAAAGCCCCGGGCUCAACCUGGGAACUGCGUUUUGAACUGGGUAACUAGAGUGUGUCAGAGGGGGGUAGAAUUCCACGUGUAGCAGUGAAAUGCGUAGAGAUGUGGAGGAAUACCGAUGGCGAAGGCAGCCCCCUGGGAUAACACUGACGUUCACGCUCGAAAGCGUGGGUAGCAAACAGG